rnacentral:lncRNA from 1 species
GAUAAAGAAGAAUGUUUCAAAUUUCAAAGACAGUUUUGGUUCUCAGGGUUGAUUCUUUCAUCUUCGUUUCUUUGGCUUCAGACCUCGGAUUUUAGCUCUGAAAGAUGUUCUGAAAACUUGAGAAUGAGAUCUUCUAAAGGAUAUAAAUAUCAUCUUCUGGUUUCUUGUGGUUUGAUGGGAAAUUGCUCUCAAAAUUGGCUGCUCGCAGGUUUGUAUUGUUUCGGAUCUGUCUUGAGAAAUUGACCAUAUCCUUCAAAUCGUAAACCCAAAUUGUGAUCCGUUUUCUCCUGUGGCUUCGUCUGACUAUUGUGGAAUUUUUCACCCAAAUUUAUAAUUUUCUGGGUUGUUCUGCUACCUCGCUUGUGCUCUGCAUCAAAACUGAUGAAAAAGGUUCAAUUCAAGAGUUCUUCGAUUUUGGGAAUCAAUCCUUUGUGGCUGAUUCUAAGUUGUGGCGUUGAAAGCAGAGAUCUACUGAGUAAUGGAGUUUUGUCAUAGCAAUACAUCAAGAUGAGCAUGUUUCAUACGCUAUGUGGUGCUUUG